rnacentral:piRNA from 1 species
UGCCUUUGCUCAUGUCAAUCUUUUCAGAC